AUAACAGGGGACAAGCAUGAAGCAACCAACAAUACCAUCUCAGACGGUACACUAAUUAAUGUAAAGGAGGUUACAUGAAAGCUACGAACCACUAACUACUGAAGUCCAAUAUAGAUAGAUGAAAGGUACAAAAUCUCCAGUAAACGCAUUAGCAAAUGCAGGUAAAAUCUGAAGCAUAAAGUAAGAUGUAGUUACAGCCGUUCAUGAGAUUCUCUGCAAUUGUACAAUUUGCUAGACCAUAGAGCUGAAUACGGAAACAUUGUUUUCUCUUUGUGGCGCAUAGCAUAGCGAAUACCAAAAGAAGAGGACCUUACUUCAACGAGGGUCAUCGUGCAACCUUGCCUGCCACCCGGCAAAGAUAAAAUGCUCAAAUGCAUCUGUGCCAAGGAAUGAUAGUGCAACUACUCUGUAUUUAUGGUCAUUUUGCACAGUGCAUAUGUAUUCAUCUGGCCCGUCUCCUUUCCCUAGAUUUGUCUCUAUCAUGAUCAUCUCUCUCCCUGCUUCCACUCUUCCUUCCCCUAUCACGACGCUUUUCUCUAUCAUGAUCAUCUCUCUCCCUGCUUCCACUCUUCCUUCCCCUAUCACGACGCUUUUCUCUAUCACUAUCGCGGUCUCUGCUGGAUGAUUUCCACUGAGGGCUUCCACUUCUGCUCCUACUGCGCUGCCGCUUCCUUGAAGCUUCACGAGCAUCGUCUCUUUUCUCUUUCCUCUCCGAAGAUGACCUGCCUCCUUUUUUUGAUGUAUCUUCGCUGAAAUUCAAUAAACCAUAUUCAGAUUGUAGGCAUUGCCGAUGGAUUUCAACUUUCCUCUCAAUUUCAUCCGGAUUUUUUAUUCCUUGUUCUUCAAGAGAUUCACGAUAUUCAAUCAAUGCAACCUCAAGACGCCUCAGCUUUUGCCUCAACUCUUCGUUCAUUCCACUUUCCGGGUAUGCUGAAUUGCCUGUGUCCGUUGUAAGCUCUGCAUCCUUGAUCUUGCUAAGCCCAUCACCAGCAUUCUCACUUCCAGAAGAUGAAUAUGUCAACCCCAG
rnacentral:misc_RNA from 1 species